UACGAAGGGGGCGAGCGUUGUUCGGAAUUACUGGGCGUAAAGGGCGCGUAGGCGGCGACCCAAGUCAGAUGUGAAAGUCCUGGGCUUAACCUGGGGACUGCAUUUGAUACUAGGUUGCUUGAAUUCGGGAGAGGAUAGCGGAAUUCCCAGUGUAGAGGUGAAAUUCGUAGAUAUUGGGAAGAACACCGGUGGCGAAGGCGGCAUCCUGGACCGGCAUUGACGCUGAGGCGCGAAAGCCAGGGGAGCAAACGGG
rnacentral:rRNA from 1 species